AUAAAAGCUGGCCACCCCAGCCAGCAGCAGCAACCCGCUCAGGGGCAGUUCCACGUUGUGGAAGCUUUGUUCUUUGGCUCUUCACAAUAAAUGUUGCUGCUGCUCAGUCUUAGGAUCCGCUGUAUCUUUAUGACUGUAACACUCACUGGGAAGGUCUGCGGCUUCACUCUGGAAGUCACCGAGACCACGAACCCACCAGAAGGAAGAAGCCACUCCGGACGCGCCACCUUUAAGAGCUGUUAACACUCACUGCGAAGGUCUGCGGUUUCCCUGCUGAAGUCAGGAUGAAGCUGUCUGUCCUCUGAAGUCUGGAUCCUCCUUAUCUGCCAAAAGUAUGGAACCACCAAAGAAGAAAACAGUUAUCUCUGGUUCCUUCCAGGAGUGGCCAUUAACUGAACUCAGGUCACAGGAAGAAAGACUGAAGUCUGUAAACACACCUGGACAGAUUUUUGUCACCAACCAUUGUCUUUCAGUCCAAUUUAGUUUUUCAGAGAGAAUCAUUUACCAGCUGUUUUCUACUCUGCAGGCCCAAAAGACUUUGUCCCGGGCCACUGUAUGUUCUCCAAGUCCAUUUAUUUCCCCAAAACAUCCCUUACUAUCCCUCAAAUUGCCACAUUUGCCCCAGCUCCUCUUUCCCUAUGAAGAAGGGUAUACCUCGUUUAUAUGUCUGCACCUCACUGGAUUACUGGGUAAUCAAUCUCAUGUGAUUCUCCUGCACCUUUGAACAUUAAAAUAAAUUUUGUAGGCCUUCUCCUA
rnacentral:lncRNA from 1 species